rnacentral:lncRNA from 1 species
GCACUGCACUGCUAUAGUGCUAUCUGUCUAGUGUACUGGAUAACAAUAAUUGCCUCCUUUUCUCUCGAGUAUUUGCAUUACAAUAUUAUAGUUGUUAUCAAGAUUGGAGGUAAUUGGAUCUCUUUUAUAUAUGAUGCUAUAGAAGUCGCUAACCUUGUUGGUACUGCUGUGCUGACAAAAAAUGAUUCACUACAACAUUGUUCGAUUUCAUGAAACCCUAGACCCCUUGCCUAAGUGACAAGAGA